GAUGAACGCUGGCGGUAUGCUUAACACAUGCAAGUCGAACGGUCACUUCGGUGAUAGUGGCGGACGGGUGAGUAACGCGUGAGAAUCUGUCUUCAGGUCGGGGACAACAGUUAGAAAUGACUGCUAAUACCGGAUGUGCCUUUGGGUGAAAGAUUUAUUGCCUGAAAAAGAGCUCGCGUCAGAUUAGCUAGUAGGUGGUGUAAGAGACUACCUAGGCUCCGAUCUGUAGCUGGGCUGAGAGGACGAUCAGCCACACUGGAACUGAGACACGGUCCAGACUCCUACGGGAGGCAGCAGUGGGGAAUUUUCCGCAAUGGGCGAAAGCCUGACGGAGCAAUACCGCGUGAGGGACGAAGGCUUUUGGGUCGUAAACCUCUUUUCUCAAGGAAGAUGAUGACGGUACUUGAGGAAUAAGCAUCGGCUAACUCUGUG
rnacentral:rRNA from 1 species